GAACAAUCCGACAGCGACUCUGAAACCGCUGAACGUGGUCCUGAGCAGCCAGCCGAUGAAGAGGAAGAGAACGCACCACCUCCUGCACCUGUACAGA